AUUGAACGCUGGCGGCAGGCUUAACACAUGCAAGUCGAGCGGAGAGAGGUAGCUUGCUACUGAUCUUAGCGGCGGACGGGUGAGUAAUGCUUAGGAAUCUGCCUAUUAGUGGGGGACAACAUUCCGAAAGGAAUGCUAAUACCGCAUACGUCCUACGGGAGAAAGCAGGGGAUCUUCGGACCUUGCGCUAAUAGAUGAGCCUAAGUCGGAUUAGCUAGUUGGUGGGGUAAAGGCCUACCAAGGCGACGAUCUGUAGCGGGUCUGAGAGGAUGAGCCGCCACACUGGGACUGAGACACGGCCCAGACUACUACGGGGGGCAGCAGUGGGGAAUAUUGGACAAUGGGGGGAACCCUGAUCCAGCCAUGCCGCGUGUGUGAAGAAGGCCUUAUGGUUGUAAAGCACUUUAAGCGAGGAGGAGGCUACUGAGACUAAUACUCUUGGAUAGUGGACGUUACUCGCAGAAUAAGCACCGGCUAACUCUGUGCCAGCCGCCGCGGUAAAAC
rnacentral:rRNA from 1 species